rnacentral:lncRNA from 10 species
UUCAAGUAACAUUCUCCAAAGAAAGAAACCACGCUCCUUGGUAAAGAGGUUGCUUGGACAAGGAAAAUAUAGGACGUGCUUGAAAUAUCUUGUGGUACCAGAUGUACAGGCUCAUGGAGUUUUACCCUAUUCAUUACUUAGUUUUACCUCAUGCAUAUAUUGCUUAGUGUUCAACCAAGCUAUCAAGGGGAUCCAUGCAGAUUUCUAGAGCUAUUUACUCUUUCUUGCAAGUUCAGCUGCUUCAGCCUUUCUGAACUCUAAUUGCUGUUCCAUCAACUAGGUGAGACUGUCAUGCUUGGUUUGGGCUCCCCUUAUCAAGCCUUCCAUAAGACAAUAGAUCAUUGCUUCUUUCUGACUUUCUUGAACAUGCUGUUACUUUAAUGUUUUUAUUAUAAAAUCCUUCAAGGAAAUACAUGUCCAUGCCAAAAUAUGAGACCCAAUUGGCAAAUGGAAUAAGCCAGAAUUACCAAGGAUCUAAGAUUACUUCUUUGUGCUUUUUAAAUUUUAAAAUAUAUUGUCAUCUAAGAUACAUUGACUACAGAAUGAUAGAGAACAGUACCAACAAAGCCAAG